rnacentral:rRNA from 1 species
UACGGGGGGGGCAAGCGUUGUUCGGAAUUACUGGGCGUAAAGGGCGCGUAGGCGGCCUUCUAAGUCAGACGUGAAAUCCCUCGGCUCAACCGAGGAACUGCGUCUGAUACUGGAAGGCUUGAAUCCGGGAGAGGGAUGUGGAAUUCCAGGUGUAGCGGUGAAAUGCGUAGAGAUCAUGAGGAAGACCAGUGGCGAAGGCGGGUCUCUGGACAGUUCCUGACGCUGAGGCACGAAGGCCAGGGGAGCAAACGGG